CGUGAACGACAGGGGAGCGUCACGUCGUCGGCAGCCCCGCCGGCGCCCAGGACGCUGAGAGUGCGGACCACCGCAGACCCUCGAACCUGAUCCGGUUCACACCGGCGUAGGGAGUCGGGCUUCUCAGUCU
rnacentral:ncRNA from 2 species